GGAAGAGUUGGGACUUGGGGAGGGAAGAGAGCGAUGACGAAAUUGAACGCACGGUAGAACUUUUGCAAAAUUCCAUGCGCUAUACUUACUCUCAAAUAUAAUUUGUAAUGCAGCAUUUGCAGCAGGUGGGGCAGGAGAAUUACAAGUACAAGGAUGAAAUGAUAGAAGUAUGAAUCUGCGUAUAUGUUAAAGAUAUGCAGUCUUGCAAGCAUAAGCGAAAUGCGCCACAGAUCUUUAUGCACACGCACACAUACACACAUAAGAGGAGAAAGGAAAAUGCUAGAACCAAGCAUGAGAGGAAGGCGAAGGGACGAGAACGGGAUGUCCAUUACCUAUACAUAUACGAUCGCACCAGUCGCACGAGCGAGAGAUGCAAAUUGCCAAGAUGGCGACGCCUCGGCGAGUAGAAAGAAAAGAAAGAAACGCAGCAAGCCAGCGAGAAGCUUUCGGUGUGACAAAUCAUCUGCACGCAGCUUGCAGGUAGCAUGUCGAGGAAAAAAUACAAAAAAUACAGGUCCGUGCCCGAGUCUGAUGAAAGCGCAAAGAGGAUCGAAUGUAAUGUGCGUCUUUUAAUAUGCUACUCACCAAUUACUCGAAAUUAAACUUGGCAUUAUGUCGUCCUUUUUACUAGAUUCACAAUUAUUUAAAAAAA